rnacentral:rRNA from 1 species
AUACGGAGGGUGCAAGCGUUAAUCGGAAUUACUGGGCGUAAAGCGUACGUAGGCGGUUCGUUAAGUUAGAUGUGAAAGCCCCGGGCUUAACCUGGGAACUGCAUUUAAAACUGGCGAACUAGAGUUGAGUAGAGGGGAGUGGAAUUUCAGGUGUAGCGGUGAAAUGCGUAGAGAUCUGAAGGAACACCAGUGGCGAAGGCGACUCCCUGGACUCGAACUGACGCUGAGGUACGAAAGCGUGGGUAGCAAACGGGAGUAGAAACCCCAGUAGUCC